rnacentral:rRNA from 1 species
GACGAACGCUGGCGGCGUGCUUAACACAUGCAAGUCGAACGAUGAAGCCGGAGCUUGCUCUGGUGAAUUAGUGGCGAACGGGUGAGUAACACGUGAGUAACCUGCCCUUGACUCUGGGAUAACUGCGGGAAACUGUAGCUAAUACCGGAUACGACCCUCGGAGGCAUCUCCUGGGGGUGGAAAGAAUUUCGGUCAAGGAUGGACUCGCGGCCUAUCAGCUAGUUGGUGAGGUAAAGGCUCACCAAGGCGACGACGGGUAGCCGGCCUGAGAGGGUAACCGGCCACACUGGGACUGAGACACGGCCCAGACUCCUACGGGAGGCAGCAGUGGGGAAGAUUGCACAAUGGGCGCAAGCCUGAUGCAGCAACGCCGCGUGGGGGAUGACGGCCUUCGGGUUGUAAACCUCUUAUAGUAGGGAAGAAGCGAAAGUGACGGUACCUGCAGAAAAAGCACCGGCUAACUACGUGCCAGCCGCCGCAGUAA